AUUGAACGCUGGCGGCAGGCCUAACACAUGCAAGUCGAACGGUAACAGGAAGAAGCUUGCUUCUUUGCUGACGAGUGGCGGACGGGUGAGUAAUGUCUGGGAAACUGCCUGAUGGAGGGGGAUAACUACUGGAAACGGUAGCUAAUACCGCAUAACGUCGCAAGACCAAAGAGGGGGACCUUCGGGCCUCUUGCCAUCGGAUGUGCCCAGAUGGGAUUAGCUAGUAGGUGGGGUAACGGCUCACCUAGGCGACGAUUCCUAGCUGGUCUGAGAGGAUGACAAGCCACACUGGAACGGAGACACGGUCCAGACUCCUACGGGAGGCAGCAGUGGGGAAUAUUGCACAAUGGGCGCAAGCCUGAUGCAGCCAUGCCGCGUGUAUGAAGAAGGCCUUCGGGUUGUAAAGUACUUUCAGCGGGGAGGAAGGGAGUAAAGUUAAUACCUUUGCUCAUUGACGUUACCCGCAGAAGAAGCACCGGCUAACUCCGUG
rnacentral:rRNA from 1 species